UACGUAGGGUGCAAGCGUUGUCCGGAAUUAUUGGGCGUAAAGAGCUCGUAGGCGGUUUGUCGCGUCUGCUGUGAAAACCCGAGGCUCAACCUCGGGCCUGCAGUGGGUACGGGCAGACUAGAGUGCGGUAGGGGAGAUUGGAAUUCCUGGUGUAGCGGUGGAAUGCGCAGAUAUCAGGAGGAACACCGAUGGCGAAGGCAGAUCUCUGGGCCGUAACUGACGCUGAGGCACGAAAGCGUGGGGAUCAAACAGG
rnacentral:rRNA from 1 species